UUCAUGACUGAGAGCUGUCCUUCAUGACAACAGAACCCACAACAACCAUGACUUUUAUCACCAUCUUCAUCUGGAUAUUUGCCCUCUGCUUUCAAGAGUCCAGAGGCCAGGUCACAGUGACCCAGACUCCUGCAGUGAAAGCUAUUUCAGUGGGUCACUCAGUCAGUCUCAGCUGUAAGACCAGCAGUGCUGUAUACAGUGAUACACAUGGACAGAGGUUGGCCUGGUAUCAACAGAAACUCGGAGAAUCUCCUAAACUCCUUACAUAUUUCAUUAGCACCCGUAACUCUGGGACUCCAUCUAGAUUCAGUGGCAGUGGAUCUGGGAGUGACUUCACUCUGACCAUCAGUGGAGUCCAGGCUGAAGAUGCAGGAGAUUACUACUGUCAGAGUUUCCACCUUCCCAACAGUGUCUGGGUGUUCACACAGUGAUACAGAGCCAUACAAAAACCCCCCUCAGAUUUCACAGUGACUGCGCUAGUUGGGUUUGACUCCAGGUGCUGAGUGGGAAGAGACAGUGGCCGUGUCCAAAUACCCAUACUACCGUACUUGAUAAGGUACAUUUCAGGAAAUGUUAUAUAACAUAAACAUACUGUUGACAAGUAGGCUAGGGUGUAAUGGAAUGUUUUGCCUUGUGUGGUAGGUUGUGUGGGUUUUGUCACUCUUAUGUAGGUGUCAUAACCAGCCAUAAAAUAAAGCAAUAUAUAUGUCACAAUAGGUCUAAAUAUAUGUGUUAUGACCCCAUUAUGACAGGUUAUGACAAGAUAUGUCAGCUGUUAGGACAUAUGACAUGGUUAUGACCGUGUCAUAGCAUUAUGAUGCUUGGUGUCAAGUGAAGUGUUACCACACACUCCAUGUCUCAAGGUUUAAAAAUCCUUCUUUAACCUGUCUCUUCCCCUUCAUCUACACUGAUUGAACAAGUUAUAACAAGUUAUAUUAAUACGGGGAUCAUAGCUUUCACCUGGUCAGUCUUUGUCAUGAAAAGAGUAAACUGAGUGUAUACCAGUAAUGAUGAUAUGUCAACUCAUACACCGUCAGGUGAAACCAUUCCUGAAGCAAUAACAACCAUGUGUCUCUAGAUUGCAUAAUUCUUCCUACGCUUUGCUAUGGCAAACCUUAAUUAGUUCAUAUGCAAACACUGCCUCAAAUUGUCACAAAAUAUUUUGAAUGGACUCCAUCUGUGUGGAAUAAGUGUCUCACAUCAUUUCAGAAUUUAAAAAAAACAGUCUCGGGGGUGGUUGAAUAGUCCUCAACCUGACGGCCAUGUCGAAACACAUCAGAGUUGAAAAUAUUUUGUUUUAUUGAACAUGCAUUCAUAAUAAAGGCAUUCUAACAAUAUUAAGAGUGCCUUGGUUCUCCUAGGUUUUGAUUAACAAUUCAACCAUAUAUGUUGAGAAGAUGAUUGUAAACCCGUAAAACAACACCUUGUUCCUGCUACAACCUGAUUAAAUCUUCCAGCACCUUC